CGCCCGUAGCUCAGCUGGAUAGAGUACCUGACUACGAAUCAGGUGGUCGGAGGUUCGAAUCCUCCCGGGCGCGCCA
rnacentral:tRNA from 1 species